UGGUACUUUGCCAUGAGGCUGAGGUGCCGUUUGGUUAGAGUAUAAUUAUAUAGCGCACAUGAAAAAAUAUAUAUAAUUAAAAAAAUUAUGCUGUUAUACUUUUAAAAGUAUUAAAUUAUUGAUGUUUGUAGGUUUUGAUCCUUAAAUUAAGAAAUAUACAGUUAGGAUGAUAGUGAUCCUUCAGAAUUGGGUGGAUAGUUAGUUAAAUGAUACGAUCUAACGGAUGAAAAUGAUUAAAAGAAUUAGAUCUAAGGACAGAAAAUUUACAAUCACCUAAUGCUUAGUGCUUUUAGAAGUACCAUAGUCGGACUCCAGUAUAGUUAUACGCAUUUUAUUUACUUAGAUAUAAUAAAAAAUAGUGUAACUAUAAAUACUACAGCGGAUGUACAACUAGCUAUCUUAAUAGAGCCUAUUGGGCCCCACUGAGGUAACCAAAGAAAGACUUUUAUGACCUUUCCUUUGUCUUGUUGGCUCCACUUUUGGGGUCAACUUUGACCACAAAGUAGGGCCAACAAGCAAAAUAAUUUGUUUGCUAUUUUUUAUAAGUAUAAAUUUAUUUUUUUAUUUAUGAAUAGUAAUUAUUUUGAGUUGUUCCAAUAUAUAAAAAUAUAUUUUGUGUAUUAAUUAUUUUAGUUAGUUAUAUUUGAUUAUUAUUAUUAUUUGUUAAAAAUAAUUAAUUAUUUAUUUUUUUCUAUCUUUGUUGGCUAUUGACAUUUGAUUAUUUUUAAAUGGUUUGUAAAAAACUAAUUUAUUUAUCACCAACUUUUGCUAAUAAAUAUAUGAGAAAAGAUAUAUUUGACCGCGUUACCAAUAAAACCAUCCUACAUCGUUCUUAGAGUAUAAAAAUACAUUGAAAAUAAUUGCAAAUAACAAUGGUAUAUUUUUCUAUUUAUACAUUAUUAAUGACAAGUUUUCUUUUCUAUUUCUUAAUAAUUUUUUUAUUAUAUAUUUGACUCCUAUGAAAAAUUUUUGUGUCCGCCACUAAUUAUAAAUAAUUUGUUUAGUUAUAUGCAGUUGAGAAGUUUGUUUCUGAAAUUUUAUUAUUUUAUACACGGGUGGUGAGAUUAUAUCCUAUGUAGGAAAUAUAUAUAUAUAUAUAUAUAUAGAGAGAGAGAGAGAGAGAGAGAGAGUCCGAUUGGGAUAAUAUCGAUAGCAGCAAGCACUUGGUGCUACCAAGUUUUUCGCCGUUAGAUUUAACUCUUUGACUAUUUUUCACCCAUUAGAUUAUACUAUUCAACCAAGAACUCACUCAAUUCUAGGAGGCCCACAUCAUCCUAACCGUACAUUUCUUAAUCUAAGGGCCGAAAACCUAAUAGCACCAAUAACUUGGUGCUAUUAAUAGCAUCAAAAGAUUAUUACAGAAGUAAAUUUGCCUUAUAUUUAAAGUUACACCGUCCAACCGCUAUAGUUGAAGAUGUAGACAAUUUGAAUAUAGUUUCAACUACUGUAGUUGGACCUUCACGCAUUCAACUCCAACUGUAACAAUUGAAUUCAAAUAUAUUAAAUUAAAAGUCGGAUUAGAUCUAUAUA
rnacentral:lncRNA from 1 species